CCUGUUUGUAUCGGUGGGGGAUGCGGAACAUGGGGUGGUGUGUGUGCAGUGAUCGCAGGAGAAAAGAAAAUGAUUUGACUGUUCGCACGAUCGGCAACAAGCAACAAGCUGGUGGUGUCCAGCAGCACGUACAUGAUCCUGCGACGUGCGAUGCGAAAGGCCGGCCUACCAACAGUCAAGCGUACCAUCCUGCACCUUGCUAAAGGGUACCUGAGGGAACCUGGUGGUGGCGAUGGCUAUCACCAUUCGCCGAC